rnacentral:tRNA from 8 species
GCCCGUUGGUCAAGCGGUUAAGACACCGCCCUUUCACGGCGGUAACACGGGUUCGAAUCCCGUACGGGUCA